CAAUUCAUUUUUUAGGGUUUGCCCAUCUUACGCUCCUCGCAAAUGCUCAUUUUCAUUUUCGUUCUUUCACUCCUCAAAUACCUCUCUUCAAUUUCGUUUAUGUUCAUUCAUGCUCCACCCUCAAUUCAAUCCUCUCUUCAAUUUGAUCUCUCCCCACAUUCACUCUUCGAUUUUGUUCUUUCACACCCAUUCACCUUCAUCUCGUUGUAGGUCUCAAACCUCUAUUCGAUUUCAAUCACGCCUAAGAGGAAUUUUAGUAGAAAAGGAAUGUUACGUGGCAGAAACAAGAUAGGGAAAGAUAAUGGUGAUGGUGAUGAAGCAGGAGGAGAGUUCAUACUCCAAUAGCCAAAGUUACUUUAACUUCAGAAUGCACGUGCUCAACACUUGCAAGUUCCUACCCAAAAGAAACCAUUAACAUUUGGAGCUCUCAUUUUUUUUUUUUUAAAUUUCUAAUCAACUGACCAGACCCAAAAUGGGAUAUGGCUUAUGCUAUUUUUAAUAAUUUUGCCCAUGAAAAAAUGUUGCGGUGUGUUUGUGUGUGGGGGGGUAGGGGAAGGAGGGUAGAGCACACUAGAAAAGCAGGCAGUGUUGGGGAGAGAAGAAUUGGUGGUCGGCGGCAGCAGCGGUGGUGCACUGAGCCAUGAGACAGCGAUUAGUAGCACCCAAAGAAACGACGGAACCAAAAAGCUUCGCAUUAGAAGAUCUUUUGUUUUGUGCUACACUGUAAGCUCAUUUCUUUUGUUUUUAUCUUUACCAUUCAAAUGAAUUAUUUUAAUUUUGAUUACGAAAUUAAUACCUUUUAAUUCUUUUUUAAUUUUUAUUUUCUAAUAAUUAUUGUAAUAUAGGGUUAAAAAUUCCAAUCUUAAGUUUGGAAUCAAUAUCAUUUUAUAUAUGUCAAGCAUCACAACAUGUUUUUGGUAUUUGUCUUUAUGUUAGUUUAUGUUUUGAUGCCCAAGAUUUGUGAAGAUUGAGGUGCAAUUUAAGGUGCAGAAGGAGAACAUGUUUUGAUGUUCGAGAUUUGUGAGAUUUGUGGAAAAGGUGUCAUGUCACUUAACCAUUUUGAUUUUUCAUUCAUAUAAUUUCUUACUUCUAAAUCUCUUAUGUGUACCCAGCAAAAAAUACUCUUAAUGUAUUUAAAUCUACUAUUCAAUAACUUUUAUUCUUGCACAUUCAAUGUCUUUGAUCGUAGUCACAAGAUGUGUGUGAGAACCACAAAAUGCACCCUUAAACAUAUUAAGUUAAAGAAAUAUUUGAUAUUAGUGCUUUCAACUUUUGAUUAUGAUUGAUUCAUUUAAAAUUUUGGUAUUAUGUAUAUUUGAAGGUAAUCUUCAAAACAUCUUAAUUAAAUUGCCUCAUCCUUCUUUAAUGUCUAAUCUUUUUAUUUUUAUUCAACAUCAAUCUCCUAAUUUGAUUUUCCCUCCUACUCUGUUAUCCUUCUACUUUCUUUUAACUUUUUUUUUUUGGAUCAAUCUAGAGUUCUUUAUACUCUUCAUUAGUUAACUUCAUAUCUAUCUUGAUCACAAGCCGUGAUAGCCGCAUUUUAGUGUGUUACACACGAAAGUGGAAGUGAGUUGAAGGGUGAAAAGGAGUUACAAAACAAAACAUGGUCAUACUAUCAUUGGUUCAUAGAUGAAAAUCAAGUUACUAAAAGGUAUCUUCAAGGGCUUAGACUUGAAGCUUGAAGUGCAGCAUAGAAGGUUAUUCAAAUGGAUGCAUCGAGAUGGGUAGCUAUUUUUUCUUUGUUGAUAUUGAUGGGUAGCUGUUUUUUCAUUGUUGAUACUGAUUUCAUGGGGGUGGGUAAUGAUUUUUUAGAUUUGAAUUACAACAUCUUUGUGGGUUUUUGUUAUUGUUUUGCUUUGUUUUAGCUAUUGGUUUAUUUGACUAGUGGCUUGCAUGAGAUUUUGUGAUCAUGUAUGGUGAAUCAUAAAGAGACAGAACUUUGCUUCAGUGUACUUCGUAUUAGUGAAACAUUUUUUAUAA